UCCCUGGUGGUCCAAUGGUUAGGAUGCGGUGCUUUUACUGCCGUGGGCCCAAGUUCAAUCCCUGGUCGGGGAA